CCAAGUGUGAUUCGUUUUCCACAUGCUGAAGGCAAUAGUUCUGCAUCGGAGAAUGAGUCGUGUAUAUGGCGAAAAUUUCAUGAGUGAUGGUGUCGAAGGUUUAAAAAUGGCCGUAAUGAUAUGCAUGAUGAAAGGAGCCAAGGGCGCAAAUCUGUCCUUUCAGGUUCAACAAGUUGACAGAAUGGUUAAAGAAAACCGCAGAUUCACCAUUACUGCUUUGCCUACGGAAUUUCCAGAAGUUUAAAGGUCUGUUUUUGAUUGUAUUGUUACUGAACGGUUAGGCAGCAUUGACGGCAAAUUUAUUUGAAGAGGGUAUUGAGAAGCUUGUCCACAGAUAUGACAAAUCUCAAUCUCAUCGGUGAUUAUGUCGAAAAGUAACCGAAAGUGUACCAAUCUUUUGGUUAUAAAAUUAUUGUUUUAUAUGAACUUGUCUUCGAUUUAUAGCCUAUCGAAGGUUGAGAAAAACCGACCUCGUAUUAUAAAUAUGUUAAAUACUGUCGCAUUUCAAAUUUAAAUAUUGAUCACCCUUUAUAAUGAAAGAAAUUUCUAAAUAACCCCUCGUAUAUUGUGUGUUUAUAAAAAAACUUCCUAAAUAUCUUCGUAGACUAGGACCAACUAUCCAGUUAAUAGUUUAUAUAUGUCAAAUAUUACUGUCCCGUUUAAAAUUUUCUCUUUGGUCACUUUUUAUAUUUAAAAAAAACUUUUGAAGGACGCCUCGUAUAUUUGGAAAUUUGUCUACUAUAAGAGUAUGAAUGAAUGUUAGAAACGGUAAUAAUUUUCUUAUUGUAUAAAAAUUUUAUAAUUGUAUUUUAUAAAUGUUAAAAUUGGUUUUUAGUUUAUUAUAGCGUUUAAAUUCAAGCUAAGACAAUUAUAGGACUGUGAUUAUAGCAGUCUCAAUCCGAAUUUUGACAAUGUUUGUAUAAAACAUGUUCAAAACUCCUCAUUUUGAAUUAUUUUUAGGUGUUAAUUUUAUAUACUGUAUGGAGUUUUGAACAAGUUAUAAUGUAUGUCUAUUUGUAUAUAGAAAUUAUGUUUUGUAUUUAGCUGUAAUGUCGAUUCAUUCAUGUGUGAAAUAAUAUAUAACUAACCAAAUUAAUUUCAGGUCAUAUGAAUAUAUUCACCCUAAAAUUUGCAUAGUAUUACUAGCUCUAUAUUACUGAUAAUAUAAAUGGAAUUCGGAUUUUGUCGAGGACUAAGAAAAAGUAAUCCUAAUUACAUUGCAUUCAAUUUCAUUUAUAAAUCAGAAACUAUAUAUUACAGGAUGAUCCGCUAAUAAGAAAAAAAUAAAUCAUUUAUUUAGCCAACACUUUAGAAUUCUACUAUUGUGGUUGACGUCUCACUAUAAAACUGAUUAUUGCAGGGUAGCAGCUAAUGGGAAAAAAUAUUUUUCUACUCCCAGAAAAUGUGAAUUAUUAUAUUAAAAACUAGUUGAAAGAGAUGCAGCUUAAAUAUUUGCUGCUACAAAAAUUCAUUUAUUUAUAUCACACACCAAAACAAAUCUCGACAAAAGUAAAUUAACCUCCUCCCCUUGCUUAAAAAGAAAAAUAUUAAAAUCUUUAGCAACAAACUGCCUUUUUGAUUCAAUACAAAUGAAAGUAUUUUCUACUUACUGAAAAUAAAGAAAUAGUAAUUUAGUCCGGGAAGUAAUUUAGUACGAUAUGAGAUAGAUGUUUAUGGACGAAAAUGUCGUAUGAAAAAAAAUUUAAUACAUUGGAAUUUCUUCUUUUUUACAUAAAUCAAUGUUCAUAACAAAAAUCAUAGUUUAUAACUGUCUACUCAAAAUUUUUAAAUCGAUCUUAUAGUCCUGUGCCUGUGCCUCCUAUCAUACGCUUAUCUAUACCCAAUACGAACCUUAUUCAAACAUUUCUUCAACAUAACUAUACUCGUAAUAACCUAGAACAUCAAAAACAAUCCAGAUUAUUCGUGAACUUUAUAAUCAUGGUGCAAAAGUCAUACUGGGGAAAGAAGAAUACCCUAAUUGGUUCUCUACGAUAUGUGUUUACCUGGGAUUACUGUUCUUGUUAAUUGAAAUAUGUUCGGAUUUCUAAAGCAAAUAAUAAAACACAUACUUUAUUAAUAUUUAAAUGGAGUUUUAAAUGAAGAAGCUAUAAAAACUGUAACGCUUGUUAGUUCAGUGGUUCAUGGGAAUUUAUUAAAAGAAAUAUUGCUACUGUAACGAAACCAGUUGUAGCAAUUUUUUAUGGAUCACCUAAAACAUGCAAUUGUACAAAAAGUAUAUAACUUGAAGAAUAUGGUGUAAUUGUGAUUCAUUCAUUCCAAAGAUGCUUUACGGCAGCUAAUAUCACUUAGGCUCGGCAAACAUAAUAGGCAAGAUUGUUUGGUAUCUGGAUAUAGAUUUUGAAAAUUGUGUUAAAGCCAAAUUACUUCGAUUUUCAUUAGUAGGAGGAGUUUGAUCAAAAUGGAUGUACACGGUUGUUAGAUUUAUAUUCUAUUUUGAUGAUCUUAUUUCAAUGUUAUGUUGCAAACUAUUUCUAACGAUUAUUUACACAAAAUAUAUUAUUUUUUUAUUUCAAUAUAUUUUAUGAAAACUCAAUAUUCCCACUCUACGAACUCAAAUAAUGUUUUGUAGACUGAAUUAUUUUGAGAACAAAAAUAUAUAACAUACAAAAAUUCUGCUGAUAAAUUUAUUUGCAGAGAGAUAACAAAUAUCGAAAGAAACCAACUAAUUCUUGAAGUUAUUGUAGAUUCGAAAUUCAAGAUCGCGGGUUUCUGGUUUGCAAAUAACGAGUGUAAUACCAACCUAAAUAUUUUUGUCCCAAACUCACAUUCACACCAAACCCAACCAAAACAGGUUUGCAACAUUUUUAGGUCAUACAUAUUGUAUUUAAAUUGUUGGUAUAAAAGAUCAUUGAAGCUUUGGUUAGUAUAUAACAUGACAUUGAAUUAAAAAUAAAUUUAAAAUACUCCUAAAUUUAUAACAGGAAAUUCUAAACCUUAUUUAAAUUGUUAUGAUCUUUUCAACUCAUGAACUGUUUCAAAGAAUCAUAAUAUAUUACAUAAUAUAUUUUCUAAUUGUUUAGCUUAUGUGAACCUCUUAAUUUAUUAUUUAGUAUUUUAGCUUGAACUGAACUUCUUAUUUCUUAAAAAAAUCGUUUCAGUAUAUAACCAAUGAUUACUAAUUUUUUUUGUGAAAUAUGAUGACUCGAAAUAUUGUUAUUUAUUUUAUUUAGGUACGAGAGCAGAGAAAUUUUCUCUCUUGUUAACUGAAUUUUUUUAAAAGGAUUAAAUACUUGGCUAAUAUUUCCAAUUCUACGAAAAUUAAUGGAAUAUUUGUUAGCUGGAACCUAUUAUCUCGAUAUCUUCAUCACAAAUUUUGCUGUAACACUUAAUAUCGAUGCCCCCUAUCUUUUUCCAAAAAAAUAAAAAGAAUUAAUGCAUCUCGAAAAAAAAUUAUUCUAAUAUAACUUUUGUAUCACUUGCAUGUUAAAAUAUAAUUUUUCAUAGUUUUUGAGUAACACCUGUAUAUAUGUAAAUAAAAAGCUCUACUUAUAUAUUUCAAUAAAUUUCUUUCUGGUUAAACGUUUAGUUAGUUUAAAAUGGCCAAAUUGUCGUUUAUUUUGUAUUUGUUUAUUAAAAUUAUCUGUUAACUUGACAAUAAGAUUUUGACUUAAUAUUUUUUGUGUGGAAAAGUUUUUCAUUAAUAAUAUUUUCCAACGGUUACAGGCAUAAUUUUUGGUUCGUCAUAUAAUUUGUCAUAUUUCAUUAUUUCCUAGAACUACAAAGGGAGUUAUAGAAGUGAAUUUUUAUGUGACAAACCAACGAAAUAGUUUCAUUUCUCAAAUAACUAGGAUUUAGAUAUUCAGAAACAUCAAAUAAAGUUAUAGUUGUAUUGUUGCCAUAUAUCCGAAAUAGAUAUUUGAUAAUGUUAUAUGCUUCUAUUAUGCAGUAUUUCAAUUUUUUUUCAAAUUAUUUGAUCUGGCUUCUCAAAUGAGGGCAAAGCAUUUUGUUCCGCCUUACGUAGUGUCAUAUUUUUUAGAAAAUUAUCCAAAUUUGUUUUGAAAACUGUUCCCUACUCCAUAAUAUACAAACUUGUCAUUAUUGUAGAAUAAAUUAAAUAAAAAUAAAAUGAAUGAGGAACGUUAAACAUGCAUUUAUUACUGCAGGUAAAAAACGUUAUGAAUAAGUGUAUGAGAGCUGAUCCCUUUGCUCCGCCUGUUUAUAAAUCAAAUUAAUUAUUUAUCACCAUGUCCCAUUGUAACCUAUUAUGUUUAUACUCAAGAUAGAAACGACUAGAGUAGAAGCCGAGAGAGUCACAUCUCAGUAGGUAUAGAGUGACGCGCAGUGAUUAAAUACGUGCGUUUAUUUAUUUACAAAGAUUACAAGGAGACAAUAAGAGAAACUGCAGUAUCAUACAUUGCAUAAAAUUGGUAUAAAAUUUGACAGAAUAAGAAUACAGUUUUUCCUACACCUGAAAUUGAUAAUAGAAGUCAUAACACCCACUUUUUAAGAUAUUGUAGCAUUUCGAUUACUCAAAUUUGGCAAGUGUCACUCAACUGAGUGAAUCGUUACUAAGAAAGUUGUCCUCUAUGUACUGGGGAUGUCCUGAUUUUUGUUAAAGUCUAGUAUCUCGCUAAUAUCCAUCAUAAUUUCAUAGUUUUAACUGCUUUUUAGACUACAUCAUGAAGCAAUACAUACUUUUUUAUUUACUUCUACUACUUUUAUUACUAAGUAUUACAGAUUGAUUAAAAUUUAUUGAAGUAGUGAUAUAGGCCACUUUCUUGAAUCUUUCUUUAUUUAUUUAUCUUGGAUAAACAUAAAUAAUUUGAAAUUUUUAUCAAACAAAUAAUUUUUGGAGCACUGUAAUGAUUUAGGUAUAGUACUUGAAGACUAAGAGGGCAAAGACCUAGAAACUUAUGAGCUUCAUGAAAAACUACAUUUUUUAUUCCAGAAUCUACCAAACUUCUUUAAAGUUCAGUAGAUGUUUCAAUACAUAAUUACAAAUUAAGUAUAUUUUAAGUAUAACGUCCGCAAAAAGAAAUUGAGAAUUAUUAGAAACUACUUAAGAAACACCAUAUAGCAAGACCGACAGUGUGGUUCAACAAUACCCUUAACCAAAGCAGAAGUAAAUGAAAAAAAUAAUUAAAAAACCUUACUAGGACUUCAGUAAAAAGCUAAGAACAUCACUUUUACAAAAUUUUAAAUCGUUCAAGCUACAAAAUAAAACUUUUUUUCACUGUUAUGAGUAGGUAUGUCUUGGCAAAGCCUGUUUCGUAAAAUAAGCUCAUUAGAUAGAUCUAGGUGUCGACGUAAAAAAAUUUGGUAAGUGUACAGACAAACAUGUAGACUCCUAUCACAUAUGGUUCUCACUGCCGAACUGAACAUGAAUGUUAGCAAAUGCACACAAGCAAACUCUAAAAUAUUUGCAGUCGUUUUCAACGUAGUAUAGAUUUCUUACAAGUUUAGUCAUUGAAUGCUAUGUUUAUUGAUAAAAAGGCGUGUGAUUCAUAUGUAAAAAUUUACUUUGAUUAAAUCAUUUCUCUAAGCAUUAAGUUCACUUGACGAUAUGUGCCUGUAGAUCCAAGAACUUACUUAUCCAUGACUAAAUAAGAGUGGUAACAUCGAGAUCCACCACCGCCAAAAAUACACAAGAUGCAAUCUUCAGCAGGUAAGAUCAUUCUAACAUGCCAAAAGAAGUUAUGAUUACAGGUCCGCCAUUGCAAUAGCCGUAAUAGAUCAGGCAGGCUUUUAAUCAAUUGACCAAACCACUAUUUUCUCUAACUUUAGCCCCUAACGAAUAUCGAUUGUUUCUACAAUUAAAAAAACACUUGCCUGGUAAACCAUUAUAAUAGUAUAAUGAUGUCCUACAGCUGUUAAUCAGUGGAUUGCAGAGAUUAAACAAUAUUUAUUUCGAGACGUAUUAAAUAUGCUAGAACAUUAAUGGGAAACAAUUUUUAACCUUAUUAAGUACUAUAUAAUAAAAUUGAUAUGUUCACCCAUUUUCUAUUGUAAUCGGUUCAUGCAUAGAACAAAUGGAUCAGCCCUCAUAAGUAAACAUGGACAAUACCAAUGAAUCCAGGGGCUUUUCGCCUUCUAAAUAUGAUGUUUUUACAGUGAUGGCCAAUUGGAAGCAGCUUCCACUAUCCUAUUUGAUUUUAAAUAAUGUGUGUAGCAAAUAAUCAAACGUGUAUGAAUGAAAUUAUAUAGGAAACAAGAAUCGUUGAAGCAAUGUUUUAUUCUAUUAAUAUAAUUCAAUUUUCGUAAAUCUGAAAUAUGAUCAAAUAGUUUAGAAAAAAGUGCGUAUGUAAAAAUUAUAUUCAGAGCAAUCUCUUAUUUUUAAUUACUGUGUAUUAUUAUGAUUUGUUGUAAAUAUUAUUAGGAAAAACUCAUCCAUUUGAGUCAUUUAUAACGAGAAAAUUUUUAAAGUUUUGAAGUGCCCUUGUCUAUAAAACAUAGUUAACUUUUGUGUAAUAUUAUUGCCAUAGGUUUUGUAUAUAGUAUGUGUUGUAUUAUCAUGUAUGUAAUUACUCAUAAAUCAAAAAUAAAGACAUUAUAGAAAUG